rnacentral:rRNA from 1 species
GUCUAUGGCCAUGCUACCCUGAACAAGCAGGAUCCCGUCUGAUCUCGGAAGCUAAGCAGGGUCAGGACUGGUUAAUACUUGGAUGGGAGAGCACCAAGGAAGACCAGGUGCUGUAGGAG